rnacentral:lncRNA from 1 species
AUAAUGUGCCCUUGGAGAAGCAGCAGCCUGCAUUUGCUCUAAAGGUGCAGACAGUACCCCUGACUUGUAACAACCCCAAAGGCCAGAACAGCUUCCAGAUCUCACUAGAAAUCAGGUAUGAGAUAGGCAUGUGUCUCUGUCUCUGUAUGAGCAUCUAUCUCUGUCUCUGUCUCUCAGCUACUAUAGGGCUGUCUUCCUCACACUCUUCAUGGGACGCAUUCAAAGAUACCUAAAGUGGGUCUCUUUAUUAACAUUUUGCUUUGCCUGUUAAAAUAAAUGAAUGAAAAUACUGUGCUUCAACAAAGUGAACAAUGGGGAAUUGUAAAAUUAUAAUUUCUAAUUAGUCUGCAUUUAGGGUUCCUUUCUAGUCCACGACUGUUGUAAAAUAAUACAUCAUUCUUUUUCAGGAGCCCUUAACAUGGUUUAUUCUUCCUCACCAACAAAGAAUAGCCUUCCUGGUCUUUCAUAAUUCCAUUUUUCUAGAUGGAGAGAGAUAGUCAGUUCCUCUGACACUCAUCAACAACUUUGUACAAAAUAUAACCAUCAAUGAGGUUCAACUGCAGAAACAAAAGGGAUCCUGUAUGGAGAGAAUACAUUCAUAGUUACACUUAUUAUACAUAUGGGCAUGUGUGUGUGUGUACGCGUGUGUGUGUGUUGGUGUGCACAUGUGCAUGUACAUGUGCCUGUGUGUAUGUGUGUAUGUGUGGACCAGUGUGUGCCUGUGCAUUUGUAUUUUCAUGUGUGCCCGUGUGUGUGUGUGUGUGUGUGUGUGUGUGUGUGUGUGUAUGUGUCUGCAUGAGCACAUACGAGUACAUGUGCAUGUGACAAAGGACAAUAUCAGCCCUCAACCAUCAGCUCUCAGGUUCCAUACAUACUUGUUUUUGACAUUAGGUCUCUUACUAGCUAAGCAGACUGCUGACUUACCAGCAUGCCUGGAAGACCCAGCCAUUAAUGCACUCUGCACAUGAUAGUCUUAUGCAAUCUAUUCUCAGAACUACUUAUAUUUACGAUAAAGGCCAUAUAUUUUAAGAUAUGGAAAAUAUCACACAGGCUAUAUCAGGAAUUACUGCUGGAACUCAAAGAAGGCAGGAUUCAAACUAUUAAAAUGACUCCUCCUGUGCACUUCUUUGGUCUGUAGUUACACGGGGAGCCGUCCAGCCUCCAACAUGGUGAUUGCUGAUGUGAAGAUGCUCUCUGGUUUCAUCCCAUUGAAACCAACAGUGAAGAAGCUUGAAAGAUUAGGGCAUGUGAGCAGAACAGAAGUGACCACCAACAACGUCCUGUUAUAUUUGGACCAGGUAACCAAUCAGACACUGUCCUUCUCCUUCAUCAUUCA